AUGAACGCUGGCGGCGUGCCUCAUACAUGCAAGUCGAGCGAACAGACGAGGAGCUUGCUCCUCUGACGUUAGCGGCGGACGGGUGAGUAACACGUGGAUAACCUACCUAUAAGACUGGGAUAACUUCGGGAAACCGGAGCUAAUACCGGAUAAUAUAUUGCACCGCAUGGUUCAAUAGUGAAAGACGGUUUUGCUGUCACUUAUAGAUGGAUCCGCGCCGCAUUAGCUAGUUGGUAAGGUAACGGCUUACCAAGGCAACGAUGCGUAGCCGACCUGAGAGGGUGAUCGGCCACACUGGAACUGAGACACGGUCCAGACUCCUACGGGAGGCAGCAGUAGGGAAUCUUCCGCAAUGGGCGAAAGCCUGACGGAGCAACGCCGCGUGAGUGAUGAAGGUCUUCGGAUCGUAAAACUCUGUUAUUAGGGAAGAACAAAUGUGUAAGUAACUAUGCACGUCUUGACGGUACCUAAUCAGAAAGCCACGGCUAACUACGUG
rnacentral:rRNA from 1 species